UACGGGGGGGAGCAAGCGUUGUUCGGAUUUACUGGGCGUAAAGGGCGCGUAGGCGGCGUGACAAGUCACUUGUGAAAUCUCCGGGCUUAACUCGGAACGGUCAAGUGAUACUGUCGUGCUAGAGUACAGAAGGGGCAACCGGAAUUCUCGGUGUAGCGGUGAAAUGCGUAGAUAUCGAGAGGAACACCGGCGGCGAAGGCGGCCAACUGGACGAACACUGACGCUGAGGAGCGAAAGUGUGGGGAGCGAACAGG
rnacentral:rRNA from 1 species